GGGUUGUGAGGUUAAGCGACUAAGCGUACACGGUGGAUGCCCUGGCAGUCAGAGGCGAUGAAGGACGUGCUAAUCUGCGAUAAGCGUCGGUAAGGUGAUAUGAACCGUUAUAACCGGCGAUUUCCGAAUGGGGAAACCCAGUGUGAUUCGUCACACUAUCAUUAACUGAAUCCAUAGGUUAAUGAGGCGAACCGGGGGAACUGAAACAUCUAAGUACCCCGAGGAAAAGAAAUCAACCGAGAUUCCCCCAGUAGCGGCGAGCGAACGGGGAGCAGCCCAGAGCCUGAAUCAGUGUGUGUGUUAGUGGAAGCGUCUGGAAAGGCGUGCGAUACAGGGUGACAGCCCCGUACACAAAAAUGCACAUAUUGUGAGCUCGAUGAGUAGGACGGGACACGUGGUAUCCUGUCUGAAUAUGGGGGGACCAUCCUCCAAGGCUAAAUACUCCUGACUGACCGAUAGUGAACCAGUACCGUGAGGGAAAGGCGAAAAGAACCCCGGCGAGGGGAGUGAAAAAGAACCUGAAACCGUGUACGUACAAGCAGUGGGAGCACGCUUAGGCGUGUGACUGCGUACCUUUUGUAUAAUGGGUCAGCGACUUAUAUUCUGUAGCAAGGUUAACCGAAUAGGGGAGCCGAAGGGAAACCGAGUCUUAACUGGGCGUUAAGUUGCAGGGUAUAGACCCGAAACCCGGUGAUCUAGCCAUGGGCAGGUUGAAGGUUGGGUAACACUAACUGGAGGACCGAACCGACUAAUGUUGAAAAAUUAGCGGAUGACUUGUGGCUGGGGGUGAAAGGCCAAUCAAACCGGGAGAUAGCUGGUUCUCCCCGAAAGCUAUUUAGGUAGCGCCUCGUGAAUUCAUCUCCGGGGGUAGAGCACUGUUUCGGCAAGGGGGUCAUCCCGACUUACCAACCCGAUGCAAACUGCGAAUACCGGAGAAUGUUAUCACGGGAGACACACGGCGGGUGCUAACGUCCGUCGUGAAGAGGGAAACAACCCAGACCGCCAGCUAAGGUCCCAAAGUCAUGGUUAAGUGGGAAACGAUGUGGGAAGGCCCAGACAGCCAGGAUGUUGGCUUAGAAGCAGCCAUCAUUUAAAGAAAGCGUAAUAGCUCACUGGUCGAGUCGGCCUGCGCGGAAGAUGUAACGGGGCUAAACCAUGCACCGAAGCUGCGGCAGCGACACUAUGUGUUGUUGGGUAGGGGAGCGUUCUGUAAGCCUGUGAAGGUGUACUGUGAGGUAUGCUGGAGGUAUCAGAAGUGCGAAUGCUGACAUAAGUAACGAUAAAGCGGGUGAAAAGCCCGCUCGCCGGAAGACCAAGGGUUCCUGUCCAACGUUAAUCGGGGCAGGGUGAGUCGACUCCUAAGGCGAGGCCGAAAGGCGUAGUCGAUGGGAAACAGGUUAAUAUUCCUGUACUUGGUGUUACUGCGAAGGGGGGACGGAGAAGGCUAUGUUGGCCGGGCGACGGUUGUCCCGGUUUAAGCGUGUAGGCUGGUUUUCCAGGCAAAUCCGGAAAACUAAGGCUGAGGCGUGAUGACGAGGCACUACGGUGCUGAAGCAACAAAUGCCCUGCUUCCAGGAAAAGCCUCUAAGCAUCAGGUAACAUCAAAUCGUACCCCAAACCGACACAGGUGGUCAGGUAGAGAAUACCAAGGCGCUUGAGAGAACUCGGGUGAAGGAACUAGGCAAAAUGGUGCCGUAACUUCGGGAGAAGGCACGCUGAUAUGUAGGUGAAGUCCCUCGCGGAUGGAGCUGAAAUCAGUCGAAGAUACCAGCUGGCUGCAACUGUUUAUUAAAAACACAGCACUGUGCAAACACGAAAGUGGACGUAUACGGUGUGACGCCUGCCCGGUGCCGGAAGGUUAAUUGAUGGGGUCAGCGCAAGCGAAGCUCUUGAUCGAAGCCCCGGUAAACGGCGGCCGUAACUAUAACGGUCCUAAGGUAGCGAAAUUCCUUGUCGGGUAAGUUCCGACCUGCACGAAUGGCGUAAUGAUGGCCAGGCUGUCUCCACCCGAGACUCAGUGAAAUUGAACUCGCUGUGAAGAUGCAGUGUACCCGCGGCAAGACGGAAAGACCCCGUGAACCUUUACUAUAGCUUGACACUGAACAUUGAGCCUUGAUGUGUAGGAUAGGUGGGAGGCUUUGAAGUGUGGACGCCAGUCUGCAUGGAGCCGACCUUGAAAUACCACCCUUUAAUGUUUGAUGUUCUAACGUUGACCCGUAAUCCGGGUUGCGGACAGUGUCUGGUGGGUAGUUUGACUGGGGCGGUCUCCUCCUAAAGAGUAACGGAGGAGCACGAAGGUUGGCUAAUCCUGGUCGGACAUCAGGAGGUUAGUGCAAUGGCAUAAGCCAGCUUGACUGCGAGCGUGACGGCGCGAGCAGGUGCGAAAGCAGGUCAUAGUGAUCCGGUGGUUCUGAAUGGAAGGGCCAUCGCUCAACGGAUAAAAGGUACUCCGGGGAUAACAGGCUGAUACCGCCCAAGAGUUCAUAUCGACGGCGGUGUUUGGCACCUCGAUGUCGGCUCAUCACAUCCUGGGGCUGAAGUAGGUCCCAAGGGUAUGGCUGUUCGCCAUUUAAAGUGGUACGCGAGCUGGGUUUAGAACGUCGUGAGACAGUUCGGUCCCUAUCUGCCGUGGGCGCUGGAGAACUGAGGGGGGCUGCUCCUAGUACGAGAGGACCGGAGUGGACGCAUCACUGGUGUUCGGGUUGUCAUGCCAAUGGCACUGCCCGGUAGCUAAAUGCGGAAGAGAUAAGUGCUGAAAGCAUCUAAGCACGAAACUUGCCCCGAGAUGAGUUCUCCCUGACUCCUUGAGAGUCCUGAAGGAACGUU
rnacentral:rRNA from 1 species